AGUCAUAUGCUUGUCUCAAAGAUUAAGCCAUGCAUGUCUCAGUAUAAGCUUCAAAAUGGUAAAACUGCGAAUGGCUCAUUAAAACAGUUAUAAUUUAUAUGAUGAUCAUUGUUACAUGGAUACCUGUGGUAAUUCUAGAGCUAAUACAUGCAUAAAAACCCAACUUCUAGGAAGGGUUGUGCUUAUUAGCCUUCAAAUCCAACUCAAGCUCUGCUUGAUCCACUGGUGAUUCAUAAUAUGGAUCGAAUCGCAUAGCAUCCGCUGGCGAUAAAUCAUUUAAGUUUCUGACCUAUCAGCUUCCGACGGUAAGGUAUUGGCUUACCGUGGCAAUGACGGGUAA
rnacentral:rRNA from 1 species